GGGACGUUAGCUCAGUUGGUAGAGCAGCGGACUUUUAAUCCGUUUGUCGUGGGUUCGACUCCCGCACGUCCCACCA
rnacentral:tRNA from 1 species